rnacentral:sRNA from 1 species
UUUUUUGCUGGCACGGAAGAGGGAUGCGAACCCACGAAGUGGUUCGAGCCGAGCCGCUCGCGGCGAGACAACGCAGAAGCGAAGCGCCUGCGGCCCGAAGGGCGAGCGCGUGAGCGCGAGUAAUCCCGUCCCGCCCACCA